rnacentral:rRNA from 1 species
GAUGAACGCUGGCGGCGUGCCUAAUACAUGCAAGUCGAGCGAACAGACGAGGAGCUUGCUCCUCUGACGUUAGCGGCUGACGGGUGAGUAACACGUGGAUAACCUACCUAUAAGACUGGGAUAACUUCGGGAAACCGGAGCUAAUACCGGAUAAUAUAUUGAACCGCAUGGUUCAAUAGUGAAAGACGGUUUUGCUGUCACUUAUAGAUGGAUCCGCGCCGCAUUAGCUAGUUGGUAAGUUAACGGCUUACCAAGGCAACGAUGCGUAGCCGACCUGAGAGGGUGAUCGGCCACACUGGAACUGAGACACGGUCCAGACUCCUACGGGAGGCAGCAGUAGGGAAUCUUCCGCAAUGGGCGAAAGCUUGACGGAGCAACGCCGCGUGAGUGAUGAAGGUCUUCGGAUCGUAAAACUCUGUUAUUAGGGAAGAACAAAUGUGUAAGUAACUAUGCACGUCUUGACGGUACCUAAUCAGAAAGCCACGGCUAACUACGUG